GAUGAACGCUGGCGGCGUGCCUAAUACAUGCAAGUCGAGCGAACAGACGAGGAGCUUGCUCCUCUGACGUUAGCGGCGGACGGGUGAGUAACACGUGGAUAACCUACCUAUAAGACUGGGAUAACUUCGGGAAACCGGAGCUAAUACCGGAUAAUAUAUUGAACCGCAUGGUUCAAUAGUGAAAGACGGUUUUGCUGUCACUUAUAGAUGGAUCCGCGCCGCAUUAGCUAGUUGGUAAGGUAACGGCUUACCAAGGCAACGAUGCGUAGCCGACCUGAGAGGGUGAUCGGCCCCACUGGAACUGAGACACGGUCCAGACUCCUACGGGAGGCAGCAGUAGGGAACCUUCCGCAAUGGGCGAAAGCCUGACGGAGCAACGCCGAGUGAGUGAUGAAGGUCUUCGGAUCGUAAAACUCUGUUAUUAGGGAAGAACAAAUGUGUAAGUAACUAUGCACGUCUUGACGGUACCUAAUCAGAAAGCCACGGAUAACUACGUG
rnacentral:rRNA from 1 species